AUGCAAUCCUAUUCCAGACAGACCCUGCCUCCGAGGGGGAGAGAGCAGUGCCCAUGGCCAGCCUCUCCCCUCGUGGAUUGGCCCCAUCUUGGUGGCUUCUCGUCCCUACUUGGAUUUUGGCUGUUAACCUCAAUGCUGGGAGCUAAUUGUACUGUUGGCAAACAGCUGGAGCACACCCAGGAAGAGCUGGAGCACUAUCUGGAGAGGCUGACCCAUGUCUUGUUUGACUCAGAAGCUAGGAAAAGGGAUGGCCACCAUGAUCAGAAGUCCCACCACCAGCAGCACAGAACCACUGAUGUUACAUCUGAAACUAAAGAGCAUUCAGGGAAGGAGGCAGCAUAUUCUCAGUAUCUGUCGAGCCACACAAGGGUUCAGACUUGAUGCAGCAGAUCAUCCUUGUCUGGACAGUUGAAAACAUUAAUAUAAGCCCCUCUUUUGUGCAAAAUCAAUGGAAAUCAUGCAGAAGCAUAGUAGCAGAAAUCAUCUUUUGCUGUUGCUCGCUUGUUUUUUGGGAGUAGUAAGAAAGAAGUUGCAACCUAAACAAACACUUGUCAUAACUUGUCAAGAAUGAAAGGCCUAAUUCUGCUCCUGUUGAAGUAAAAUGCAUAACUUUUCAACUUUGCUUGGAAGCAG
rnacentral:lncRNA from 1 species